rnacentral:rRNA from 1 species
AAUAGAUACCCUGGUAGUCCACGCCGUAAACGAUGAGUGCUAGGUGUUAGGGGUUUCAAUACCCUUGGUGCCGAAGUAAACACAGUAAGCACUCCGCCUGGGGAGUACGGUCGCAAGACUGAAACUCAAAGGAAUUGACGGGGACCCGCACAAGCAGUGGAGUAUGUGGUUUAAUUCGAAGCAACGCGAAGAACCUUACCAGGUCUUGACAUCCCCCUGAAUCCUCUAGAGAUAGAGGCGGCCCUUCGGGGACAGGGGAGACAGGUGGUGCAUGGUUGUCGUCAGCUCGUGUCGUGAGAUGUUGGGUUAAGUCCCGCAACGAGCGCAACCCUUGAUCUUAGUUGCCAGCACCUCGGGGUGGGCACUCUAGGAUGACUGCCGGUGACAAACCGGAGGAAGGCGGGGAUGACGUCAAAUCAUCAUGCCCCUUAUGACCUGGGCUACACACGUACUACAAUGGCCGGUACAACGGGCCGCGAAGCCGCGAGGUGGAGCCAAUCCCAGAAAGCCGGUCUCAGUUCGGAUUGCAGGCUGCAACUCA